rnacentral:rRNA from 1 species
CAAGCCCUGGAAACGGGGUCUAAUACCGGAUAUGACAUCCUCCCGCAUGGGAAGGGUGUGGAAAGCUCCGGCGGUGCAGGAUGAGCCCGCGGCCUAUCAGCUUGUUGGUGGGGUGAUGGCCUACCAAGGCGACGACGGGUAGCCGGCCUGAGAGGGCGACCGGCCACACUGGGACUGAGACACGGCCCAGACUCCUACGGGAGGCAGCAGUGGGGAAUAUUGCACAAUGGGCGAAAGCCUGAUGCAGCGACGCCGCGUGAGGGAUGACGGACUUCGGGUUGUAAACCUCUUUUAGCAGGGAAGAAGCGAAAGUGACGGUACCUGCAGAAGAAGCACCGGCUAACUACGUGCCAGCAGCCGCGGUAAUACGUAGGGUGCGAGCGUUGUCCGGAAUUAUUGGGCGUAAAGAGCUCGUAGGCGGCCUGUCACGUCGGAUGUGAAAGCCCGGGGCUUAACCCCGGGUCUGCAUUCGAUACGGGCAGGCUAGAGUUCGGUAGGGGAGAUCGGAAUUCCUGGU